GUGGGGAAUCUUCCGCAAUGGACGAAAGUCUGACGGAGCGACGCCGCGUGAGUGAAGAAGGCCUUCGGGUCGUAAAGCUCUGUCAUCAGGGACGAACGGCCGGUGGAGUGGAAAGCCACCGGAUUGACGGUACCUGAGAAGGAAGCCACGGCUAACUACGUGCCAGCAGCCGCGGUAAUACGUAGGUGGCAAGCGUUGUCCGGAAUUAUUGGGCGUAAAGCGCGCGCAGGUGGGAUCUUAAGUCCAUUUUUAAAGUUCGGAGCUCAACUCCGUGAGUGGAUGGAAACUGGGAUUCUUGAGUACCGGAGAGGAAAGCGGAAUUCCCCGUGUAGCGGUGAAAUGCGUAGAUAUGGGGAGGAACACCAGUGGCGAAGGCGGCUUUCUGGACGGUGUCUGACACUGAGGCGCGAAAGCCAGGGGAGCGAACGGGAUUAGAAACCCCAGUAGUCC
rnacentral:rRNA from 1 species